UUGUCCACGCGAUGUGUGGAUU
rnacentral:snRNA from 1 species